CACACACACACACACACACACACACAGAGCGUUGAAAUAGUUGGUUCUUCUUUUUCCGGUAGUCAAUCAGAUUUUAGAUUUACCGCUGAACACCUUCUCGAAGGCCUGGUGAUGAGCGAGUUUCUUCGUCCUCUCAUUGGUUCAGCUAUGUUUGGCUUCUGGUUGGUUGAGUUCGAUGUGCAUCAAAGCUCGAUUUAUGACGGCGGACGAUGUCAGCCCAUAAUUAAAAAUUCACUUUCAACGUGCACUUUUCAAGAAAAUGUGGACUUGAUGAGAUUAGCUCAACCAAAACUCUUGCUGGCUUGUUUCAAUUCAAUUCUUUUUUUGGGGGAGGCCACUUUCAGAGUAGCUGGAGUAUCCCAGGGUGGAAAAACAAACUUCAGCCAUGAGUCAAACCUCAAAUCUUGCUGUAAGACAGCAUUGCUAACUACUGUUUUACUGUGCCGCAAAAACCUAACUGGCCUUAGAAAUCAAGCCCUGGUUGAGUAUUACAUAUCAGAAGUGUAAUGCAUGUACGCUGUGGAACAUGCCGUUCUGUAUAUCUUCUUAAAAAAACACAGCAUUGCUACCUUCUUGUUCUGACUGUGUAAGACUGCCUAUUUUGCCUUCUGAUAUUAAUGAGCUAAAAGACCCGCAGAUCACUCACUGUGAGGGGAAUCCCAACUUGUUUGGCUCUGUACACUCUGACUCAUGUUGAGGUGAAAAGUGGAAAUGGCGGCUCCUGUUUUGUUUCCCAAUCUGUCAUCUACUCCACUCGUCUCUUCCUAAUCAUGUGCUGUUGCUAUACUCUACUGUCAAAUAACUGUGAGGGAGAUUUUUUUCCCAAGUAGAGUCGGGAGAACAUUUGUGGCUUCCAGAUACUAUCCAAUAAAAGCAGACCGCUAGAGCUCAUUCUCUGUCUUCUCUUGCUUGUGUUUUAACUGUUUCUCAUAUGAACUCUGGCUUGAGUUGGGGUUGGCCGAUGUCAAGUCCUGGAGUGGAUAAUCUGGAGCACCGGGAGAACACCAGGUCUGGGUGUGUUUGUCAGAGAAGAACAGAGAUGAGGUACUGGCUGAAAGCGAUGUGAAUGCAAUGUCCUCCAGCUGUAAGAUAGAGAAGAUGGCCCACGCGAGACUAUCCAAUCCUAUAGAGAGUUGGGCCGCACAAUCAGGCGGUGUUGGAUUUAAUGGAAAGUGAUUUCUCCCACGAAGACCUCGGGGACACCCAAGCAAGCAUGUGUUACAUCCCUCCCCCACGUGCCUUUGCUCCUCUCUGAGAAAGGCAGGAUGCUGCAAUACCUCCAGAAUGAAGUGAUGGUGCCUUUGGGCUUCUAAGCCAUUUGAAAUGCAACCAAACAAGGUCUCCAAGGAAAGCUUUGAAACAAUAGCACUCCUUUUUUCUGGGCAUUAAUUCAAGUAAGCAUCAUUUUUUUUCCUCCCCCCUGUGAAACAGCUCCGGCAGGACCCAUCAAAUAAAGUUUAACACAGACAAAGAGCAUGUUUAGUUCAAAUCCUAAGCGAAAUAAGCCGCUUACUGGUGUGAUGUGAACAUAUAUUUCUCUUAGUAUCUGUGGAAUAAGUGUACAGCACCAACUGCAAUCCCAUCAUAAUUGUUGGAUGUUUUCUGAUGGAUUAUUACUUGGAUAGACAGCUUGGAGUAACACAGUUAUUGGCAGAGCUAUUGUUUGCGUAUCUCUGCGAAGGAAGAAAGACAGCCAGGAGUCUCAUGAAUUUAUAACAUCAUUGUGGGUGUGGAAUGCAGCUUUUUUUUCCCCUUCCACGAGUAUGAACAAUGUCUCUUUUGUCAUCCACUAAUUUCUUACCUAAAUUAUUUUCAGAAUUCUAACAAGAUGAAUAUCUAUCAAUUGCAGUAAGCUGUCAUUUGAAAAGAAAAUGUCCAAAGACCACAGGAAAUUGGUUGAUUUUUACCACCAUGUGUGAGAUACCUGAGAAUAUUCUCAUUCAUCCAUUCUCAAGGCAUUUCAUUUCUCACAACUGGACUGUUCUGGUUGUUUUAGAAGAUGGUUUGCCUUUUAUCUGAGUAAGCUUCAUCAUUCAUGCUUCCCUAGCCUGAGUGUUUGGGUGGAAUCCCAACAAUUUAUCCCCAAAGUUAGGCCCAGUCCAGAUGGAAAUUGAGCCAAACUUUUCUUAUUCUCUUUUUUUUUUAAGUUUCCUGUAAACACAGAAUGCUUCUAGAAAUAUGUCCUAAAACCGUGCAGUAUAAAAGCUAGGUCUGAAGUGGCUUUGUAACACUGCCACAGCCUAAUAUACAACCUUUCCGGCUUGUCAAUGUAUCGAAUGUCAUUUUCAUGAAAGUGAGAUGUGAAUUCACUUGGAUGGAACAUUGACUGAGAAAAACUCAUUUUAUCACUGCUCUCCAUGGUAAAUCCUUCGCCUGCCACUCCUACUAUCCUGCCAACAUGACUGCGUAAACAAAUGCACGCGGGGAUCAGCCACGUGAUGUCCAGAGCUCUGGUAGACCCAGGAGGAAAGGCAAAUAGCGUGUAUCCGUGUCGUGCUUCUAAGUGCUAUGGCCAAACAUUGGCCUGGUAUGAACAUGACAGCAUUUUAGGUAAUUUCCGCAAGUCCAUGUUAACAGGAAUUGCUUGACAUAAACCUUUUCACUCGGUUGUUGUUUGUUGAAACAUAGAAAAGGUCAGUGCCUCGGGGAACGGCUUAGGAGAGACAGCACAGGCUACAGUCAUUGGCUCUCACGACAUACAUUUCAAAUUGUGAUGGCCUUUGAUGUUCGCCCUCUGCAGAAACAUGACGCUAUCAACAAACUGCAGCUAAGUGGGCAUGUCAUUGCAACCCCUGCUAGCGUUUCCUCCCUUGGGGUUCCCUCACACGAUCCUCCCUGAAGACAGUCUGUUUCACUCUCAUCACCUGUCUUAGUGUCACUGGUGAUGGACUGAUGAACGGCUGGAUGGAUCCAUGCAUGUACAUAUAUGUCAGGGUGUUGUCUGCAGGGGAAAUAAGUCACAUCUCAAGAAGUUCAAUAAAUGCCGGCAAGGUCUGGUCAGAUUUCACACACUCACACACUAAAGAUAUUGGGUCCCAGCGAGGUUAAAUAAUGCCUUGGCUAAAAACUCAUUUAGUGUAUCACCAUUACAUAAAAGUGUGCUGAUUGACAUUAGGCUCAUCAAACAGGACAAACAUAUACACCGGAAGCUCUUUUACAAAGUAAUUGGUCAAAAUUGCCUGAAAAGUUCUUUAUAGACGACUGUUAAUUCCUCCAUUGCUGCUUAUCAUCACUGAAAGGUUUACUUGGAGCUGCUAGGUGCAACAGCCGUGUAACAUUCCUGACCUAAAACGGCUGUUAAGGAGACGCCAGUGAAUUAAUGUUACUCAUGUGUACACAGCCCAAACCGAAUUCCUGCAGCCUCUUAAACCCUCUUUCUUCGUAAAUCUGUCAAAUCUCGCUCCAAAAGUGUCCAAAUUCCCCCACUGAGCAAUUAAACAAAGGCUAUUUCAGUCAGCGCCACUCACAAAGAGAAGGUUCAAAAGGCCCUGCUGUACUACCAUUAAUACACAUAACCAGUGUUGCCAGUUACCUUGAAAAAGUAACUUAGUCAUACCUUAGCCA